rnacentral:rRNA from 1 species
GGGGAAUCUUGGACAAUGGGCGCAAGCCUGAUCCAGCCAUGCCGCGUGAGUGAUGAAGGCCCUAGGGUCGUAAAGCUCUUUCGCCAGGGAUGAUAAUGACAGUACCUGGUAAAGAAACCCCGGCUAACUCCGUGCCAGCAGCCGCGGUAAUACGGAGGGGGUUAGCGUUGUUCGGAAUUACUGGGCGUAAAGCGCGCGUAGGCGGAUUAGUUAGUCAGAGGUGAAAUCCCAGGGCUCAACCCUGGAACUGCCUUUGAUACUGCUAGUCUUGAGUUCGAGAGAGGUGAGUGGAAUUCCGAGUGUAGAGGUGAAAUUCGUAGAUAUUCGGAGGAACACCAGUGGCGAAGGCGGCUCACUGGCUCGAUACUGACGCUGAGGUGCGAAAGUGUGGGGAGCAAACAGGAUUAGAUACCC